CACGGGGGGAGCAAGCGUUGUUCGGAAUCACUGGGCGUAAAGGGCGUGUAGACGGUCAAGUAAGUGGAAUGUGAAAGCCCCCGGCUUACCCGGGGAUCUGCAUCCCAAACUGCUUGGCUUGAGUACGGGAGAGGAUAGGGGAAUUCCUGGUGUAGCGGUGAAAUGCGUAGAUAUCAGGAGGAACACCGGUGGCGAAGGCGCCUAUCUGGCCCGAUACUGACGCUGAGGCGCGAAAGCUAGGGGAGCAAACGGG
rnacentral:rRNA from 1 species